rnacentral:rRNA from 1 species
UUAAAGAGUUCUAUAACUCCCAAACCCAUGUGAACAUACCUAACGUUGCCUCGGCAGGUCGCACCUACCUUGUAGCACCCUACCCUGUAGGGCCUACCCGGGAGGUGCGGGUAAGCCUGCCGGCGGCCCACCAAACUCUGUUUGAUAUUGAAUUCUGAACCUAUAACUAAAUAAGUUAAAACUUUCAACAACGGAUCUCUUGGUUCUGGCAUCGAUGAAGAACGCAGCGAAAUGCGAUAAGUAAUGUGAAUUGCAGAAUUCAGUGAAUCAUCGAAUCUUUGAACGCAUAUUGCGCCCAUUAGUAUUCUAGUGGGCAGGACCGUUCGAGCGUCAUUUCAACCCUUAAGCCUUCGUUGCUUAGUGUUGGGAGCCUACGGCAACGUAGCUCCUCAAAGUUAGUGGCGGAGUUGGUUCACACUCUAGACGUAGUAAUUUUUUAUCUCGCCUAUUAGUUGGACUAAUCCCCUGCCGUAAAACCCCCAAUUUAUCAAGGUUGACCUCGAAUCGGUUCAGACAAACUCGCUAAAUUGAAGCAUCUUAGUCAGCGAAGGAAAAGAAACCAACAGGGAUUGCCCUAGUAACGGCGAGUGAAGCGGCAACAG